GACGAACGCUGGCGGCAUGCCUAAUGCAUGCAAGUUGAACGAUGAUGUUCUCUGCUUACAGAGAAUUGAAGAGUAGCGAACGGGUGAGCAACACGUGGGGAACCUGCCCAUGAGAGGGGGAUGACAUUCGGAAACGGAUGCUAAUACCGCAUAAUGCUUUGGACCGCCUGGUCCAGAGACGAAAGACGGCUUUUGCUGUCACUCAUGGAUGGCCCCGCGCCGUAUUAGCUAGUUGGUGAGGUAAUGGCUCACCAAAGCUGUGAUACGUAGCCGACCUGAGAGGGUGAUCGGCCACACUGGGACUGAGACACGGCCCAGACUCCUACGGGAGGCAGCAGUAGGGAAUCUUCCACAAUGGGCGAAAGCCUGAUGGAGCAAUGCCGCGUGAAUGAAGAAGGUCUUCGGAUCGUAAAGUUCUGUUAUUAGAGAAGAACAAGUCAAGGAAUAACUGUCUUGACUUUGACGGUACCUAACCAGAAAGUCACGGCUAACUACGUG
rnacentral:rRNA from 1 species